CGAGCGGCGGACGGGUGAGUAAUGUCUGGGAAACUGCCUGAUGGAGGGGGAUAACUACUGGAAACGGUAGCUAAUACCGCAUAACGUCGCAAGACCAAAGAGGGGGACCUUCGGGCCUCUUGCCAUCAGAUGUGCCCAGAUGGGAUUAGCUAGUAGGUGGGGUAACGGCUCACCUAGGCGACGAUCCCUAGCUGGUCUGAGAGGAUGACCAGCCACACUGGAACUGAGACACGGUCCAGACUCCUACGGGAGGCAGCAGUGGGGAAUAUUGCACAAUGGGCGCAAGCCUGAUGCAGCCAUGCCGCGUGUAUGAAGAAGGCCUUCGGGUUGUAAAGUACUUUCAGCGGGGAGGAAGGCGUUGAGGUUAAUAACCUCAGCGAUUGACGUUACCCGCAGAAGAAGCACCGGCUAACUCCGUGCCAGCAGCCGCGGUAAUACGGAGGGUGCAAGCGUUAAUCGGAAUUACUGGGCGUAAAGCGCACGCAGGCGGUCUGUCAAGUCGGAUGUGAAAUCCCCGGGCUCAACCUGGGAACUGCAUUCGAAACUGGCAGGCUAGAGUCUUGUAGAGGGGGGUAGAAUUCCAGGUGUAGCGGUGAAAUGCGUAGAGAUCUGGAGGAAUACCGGUGGCGAAGGCGGCCCCCUGGACAAAGACUGACGCUCAGGUGCGAAAGCGUGGGGAGCAAACAGGAUUAGAUACCCUGGUAGUCCACGCCGUAAACGAUGUCGACUUGGAGGUUGUGCCCUUGAGGCGUGGCUUCCGGAGCUAACGCGUUAAGUCGACCGCCUGGGGAGUACGGCCGCAAGGUUAAAACUCAAAUGAAUUGACGGGGGCCCGCACAAGCGGUGGAGCAUGUGGUUUAAUUCGAUGCAACGCGAAGAACCUUACCUACUCUUGACAUCCAGAGAACUUUCCAGAGAUGGAUUGGUGCCUUCGGGAACUCUGAGACAGGUGCUGCAUGGCUGUCGUCAGCUCGUGUUGUGAAAUGUUGGGUUAAGUCCCGCAACGAGCGCAACCCUUAUCCUUUGUUGCCAGCGGUCCGGCCGGGAACUCAAAGGAGACUGCCAGUGAUAAACUGGAGGAAGGUGGGGAUGACGUCAAGUCAUCAUGGCCCUUACGAGUAGGGCUACACACGUGCUACAAUGGCGCAUACAAAGAGAAGCGACCUCGCGAGAGCAAGCGGACCUCAUAAAGUGCGUCGUAGUCCGGAUUGGAGUCUGCAACUCGACUCCAUGAAGUCGGAAUCGCUAGUAAUCGUAGAUCAGAAUGCUACGGUGAAUACGUUCCCGGGCCUUGUACACACCGCCCGUCACACCAUGGGAGUGGGUUGCAAAAGAAGUAGGUAGCUUAACCUUCGGGAGGGCGCUUACCACUUUGUGAUUCAUGACUGGGGUGAAGUCGUAACAAGGUAACCGUAGGGGAACCUGCGGUUGGAUCACCUCCUUA
rnacentral:rRNA from 1 species